GCCGAGCCUUGUAACGUGGGCUUGUGACCUGAGUGGGGGCAACAAUGUGGUGGAAUGUUGGGUUGUUCUUGAUGGCUGGACUUCGAAGGGCUAAUGUUCUGGCCUGCCCUAUCCAAGCACAGAGUUGGGUUAAGUGGUCUAUACGAAAGUAUAGGCUGCUUGGCCUUUAGAGUGGGGCGGACUGCGUGAGGCUGGUUUCACAGAGCAACGAAUAGUCUCCGCUCUGUGCAGUGGAAGGAUAACGGGCUAGUGCUCUCUGAGUUCAACAAAAACCUGAUGGGCUACUUAAUUAAACCACCAUUUUU
rnacentral:SRP_RNA from 2 species